GUUAGGACCCGAAAGAUGGUGAACUAUGCCUGAGUAGGGGCAAAGUCAGAGGAAACUCUGAUGGAGGCUCGAAGGGGUUCUGACGUGCAAAUCGAUCUUCAAACUUGGGUAUAGGGGCGAAAGACUAAUCGAACCAUCGAGUAGCUGGUUCCCUCCGAAGUUUCCCUCAGGAUAGCUGGAACUUAAGAAGAAGUAGUUUUAUCAGGUAAAGCGAAUGAUUAGAGGCUUUGGGGAAGAAACUUCCUCGACCUAUUCUCAAACUUUAAAUAGGUAAGAUUUGAAGGAUACUUAAGUGAUCUUUCAAUCUCUUGAAUAUCAAGUUCUUAGUGGGCCAUUUUUGGUAAGCAGAACUGGCGAUGUGGGAUGAACCGAACGUUAAGUUAAAGUGCCAAAUAAUACGCUCAUGAGAUACCAUAAAAGGUGUUGGUUCAUUUUGACAGCAGGACGGUGGCCAUGGAAGUCGGGAACCCGCUAAGGAGUGUGUAACAACUCACCUGCCGAAUGAACUAGCCCUGAAAAUGGAUGGCGCUUAAGCGUAUAACUUA
rnacentral:rRNA from 1 species